GGGUUUUUGAUUUAUUAUUGUAGGGUCUGCCUUACAAUUUAAAGCACAUUGAAUGCGACAGUUGUUGUGAUUUGGCACUGUAUAAAUAAAAUUGAAUUGAAUUGAAUUGAAUUGAAUUUGCAUCUUGAUGCAUGAUCAAUCAUCCAGGUAAUUAGAUCUCCAAAAGUUGAUUCUGGACGUAGCGUUUUGUGGAAGAAAUGUUUCUUCCACAAAACGCUACGUCCAAACGAACAGAAUCAUCUUUUGGAGAAUUGAAUUUUCACACAUUAAAUGGAAAAUUCUUGUGAUAACUUUUAGAAUUAAGUGUGGCUGGACAGUUAUUAGAGAGCUACUUCUAACAUUAUGUCUCCAUCAGGACGUCGGGGCUAUCAUAUCAAAAUCUGCCAGUUGCUCUGCAGCCUAGACUCAAAGUUGUGACUGUGGCUUUGAAGUCCCUGAACUUUGUAAACCCAACUAUGACUUUAGAAUCACCAUUUGCAUUUCUGCAUGACUUCUGAUCUAAAAAAAAAAAAAAAAAUGCCCCGGAUAGAACAUAUCAUCUAACAGGAGCUGGUCAAAACUUUUGGUUAAGAAAUAAAUUUCCCUAUCAGGCUGAACAAAAAAAUGUUAGUUAUCUUUUAAAGAGGAUCCAUUUCUUAAUUUCCAGCUUUAUUUUUAAAAACAGCCUGAGCUAUGUGUCAGAGAAGACCAGGCAGGUCAUGCAGACCUAUUCUCACUCACAUAAAUGAGAGUGCUCAGAUCCAUCUGUGCUGUUGGCUCACAGGGACUACCUGCCCUUACCCUGACAUCUUCAUAAGCAAAAUAACACAUCUAAUUUAAAUAUGCAAAUUAUUAUCUAAUUCAAAUCAUUUUUAAAAAUCAACUAUUUAGGUUCUGUCCACCUUGUUUUAUUAGGUAGCUUAAAUUUGUUUUGGAUAACCUGACCUAAUCAUAAUGUUAAUUUCCUCACCUUGGAACAACAACCAGCACAUACAUGCUCUGUAAUAACAUGCACUAUCUUUAUACAGUACCUGUUUCCUGUGAUUGUUGUAAUUCAGUUCAGCUUGUAUUAGUUUCUCUCAGGGAAGUCUAGCUUAAAUGCCAGAAACCAGAGAAGGCGAAGGAUCCGGUUCAGUUUGCAGAAGAAAAACAGAUGCGUCCCUUCGUCAUCUUUUUUUUCACAGUAGGCAUGCAGUGUGGUUCAGAUGCCUAAUACCGACUAAACUUGGUUGCCGUUAGGUCAGGAACUCUGCUGGAGGUGAGCUGCUGCUGUGUAACAUGAAACCUGCUGCCUGUCUGAAUUUCACCUGUGCACUUUAACAAUGACACAUUUACCAAGUGCAUAACAAACAAACAAAAAAACAAACAAACAAAAAAACUUAGACUUUAGCGCAAUCCUUUUCAUUUUUCCUAUGUACUAAAUGAAUAAAUCCUCUUUCCUGUUUUGUUGCCUCACUUUAAUAUAGAGCACAUGCAGCUAAAGCACAAUGGCAAAAUAUAUGCUUUUCUAUAUGAUUAUAUGAUAAAAUUACAGAAGUAAUGUCAGAAUAUUUUCAAGGAAAUUAGUAAAGGACUGGUUGUGUUGGUGUUGGAUGUUGU
ensembl:lncRNA